ACAUUAGUGAAGCAAGGGCCAGCCAUACGGACGGCGCUACUCGCGUACAACGUCUCUGGCGCCCAACUUUACACAAUAUCCACAAACCCGUGUGCACCGUUUGGAUGAGUAGGCCUCCUCGCGAGGCAGACUCUCCAAUCCAUUUCUACCAAACUCGUAUGGUUGUAUGAACGUGGAAAUCGUUGGACCGUAACUGGCCAACAACCAAUAAUACAACUUUCGACAACGGAUCUCUUGGUUCUCCCAUCGAUGAAGAACGCAGCGAAACGCGAUAGGUAAUGUGAAUUGCAGAAUUCCGUGAAUCAUCGAAUCUUUGAACGCACCUUGCGCUCCAUGGUAUUCCGUGGAGCAUGCCUGUUUGAGUGCCGUGAAUUCUCUCUCCCCAAGCGGUUGCGAUUGCACUGCUUUGGCGGACGAGGUUGGAUGGGUGCUUCUGCCUGUUUCGCAAGAAACAGGCUCGCCCGAAAUGCAUUAGCGCCUUUGGGACACACUCUGCAAACCGCUCUGAAAGGGAGGGCGGCAGAGGGGAUGGAGGAACUCCGCCCG
rnacentral:rRNA from 1 species